rnacentral:lncRNA from 1 species
UACUCCUCAUAUGUGCACAAUUGCACCUAACACCUUCCACAUAAUACUAGUACAACUUUCAGUUUAGCAACUCAAAAUCUGUUGCUUUUUGCCGGAGCCCUUCUGAAUAUCUGUUUGUGCUUAAUUUUGACAGUCAGGCUCGAUUUAAGCUAAUAAAAAGAAAUAUAUCUUAACUUUCCAGUUUGGACUACUUUUGGUCACCGAAAGCUCUACCGAACUAAAAUCUCUAGCAGAUAGCAGUUAUAUUUUAUUUUUCACUUUCUGGGUGUCAGAAUGAUAUGAAAUUUUAAAUCUAGCCUCAUAAAAAUAAUUCUGACCUAUCCUCCAGUUUUCAUAAUUUUCUGACACUCUGAAUUUUCUGCUAAAAUAUCAACCCCGUUCCUUACAGAAAAUUCUAAAUCUUCUGUUUUCAUUCCAAUUUCAGUACAAGUCACUUCCGACUUAUAUUUACUUCUUUAAGUGAAAUAAAAAUAGUAUCUCAUACUAUUUUUAUUUACACUUACUUUUAUAUUAAAAUUCGGUAUAUUACACCCUCCCCCCUUUUUUCCUCCCUUGUCACAGCAACCCCUCAACUCUCUCUUCCUCUCACUUUCACUACACCAUCACCCUCCCCAAACCCCUUCUGCCUCACAGAAACUCCUAGGGCUGUCAAUGGGUAUGGAUACCCGAAAUUUUAUUCGAAUCCGAAUCCGAACCCGAAUGAAACGGAUAUUUUCGAUGCUAAAUAGAUAUGGAUUCGGAUAUGAAUAUUAAAAAUAGAAAUUCGACGGAUAUUCGGAUAUGAAUUUUAACUGUACCUGACCCGAACCCAAACCCGACCCGAACCCGAUUCGAACCAAAAUAUGUUAUAUUUGAAUUUAUAUUUUAAAAUUUUAGAUUUAAUAUAAUAUAUUUUGAAAUAUUGAAAAAAUAAAUAUUUGUUUUGGGUUCAAAUUUUUGGGUUCGGGUUUGGGUUUGAGUUUCGAAUUUUUGGUCGGGUUCGGGUUUGGAUAUGGAUUUUUAAAAUCCGUUGGAUUUGGGUUCGGGUUCGGGUCUUAGGUUUGGAGUCAGGUUUGGGUUUGGGUUCGGGUUUUUGAAAAUUCGUCCCGAAUCCGACCCGUUGACAUCUUUAUAAACUCUCUCUCUCUCUGUGAACCCUUCCCCCCUCCUCUCUCUCUCACAUAUCACAAUUGCAGUCUCUCACUCACAAAUCACUCUCUCUCUCAUCAACCCCUUUCCUCCAGAGCUCUUAAUCGGCAUAGA